GAUGAACGCUGGCGGCGUGCCUAAUACAUGCAAGUCGAGCGGACCAAAGAGAGCUUGCUCUCUGAGGUUAGCGGCGGACGGGUGAGUAACACGUGGGUAACCUGCCUGUAAGACGGGGAUAACUUCGGGAAACCGAAGCUAAUACCGGAUGAUAAAGAGAAACGCCUGUUUCUUUUUUGAAAGUCGGCCUUGUGCUGACGCUUACAGAUGGGCCCGCGGCGCAUUAGCUAGUUGGGGAGGUAACGGCGCACCAAGGCGACGAUGCGUAGCCGACCUGAGAGGGUGAUCGGCCACACUGGGACUGAGACACGGCCCAGACUCCUACGGGAGGCAGCAGUAGGGAAUCUUCGGCAAUGGACGAAAGUCUGACCGAGCAACGCCGCGUGAGCGAUGAAGGCCUUCGGGUCGUAAAGCUCUGUUGUCAGAGAAGAACAAGUACCGGAGUAACUGCCGGUACCUUGACGGUACCUGACCAGAAAGCCACGGCUAACUACGUGCCAGCCGCCGCAGUAA
rnacentral:rRNA from 1 species